GACCUACUCCCUCCGUUCCGAAUUACUUGUCUUGGAUUUAUCUAGAUACAUCCGUACCUAGAUUCAUUUUAGUGCUAGAUACAUCCGUAUCUAGACAAAUCUAAGACAAGUAAUUCAGAACGGAGGGAGUACAAU
rfam:Triticum aestivum genome assembly, contig: Triticum_aestivum_CS42_TGACv1_scaffold_272614_3DS